rnacentral:rRNA from 1 species
CAAUAGUGUAUAUUAAAGUUGUUGCAGUUAAAAAGCUCGUAGUUGAAUUUCGGGUCCCCGCGCUCGGCGCUUCAUUGUGCCGUCGUGGUGUCCCUCCUCGCCGUAAGGCGUCCUUUACUGUGAAAAAAUUAGAGUGUUCAAAGCAGGCAAUCGCUUGAAUACAUUAGCAUGGAAUAAUAAGAUAGGAUCUUGUCUAUUUUGUUGGUUGCGGACAACGAUAAUGAUUAAUAGGGAUAGUUGGGGGUGUCCGUAUUGAGCUGUCAGAGGUGAAAUUCUUGGAUUUGCUCAAGACGAACUACUGCGAAAGCAUUCACCAAGGAUGUUUUCAUUAA